AAAAUGCAUCGGUAGGGGAGUGUUCCUCCUUAGAGGGAAGCAACCGCGAAAGCGGGGGUCAACGAAGCGGAAGGGAGAAUGUCGGCUUGAGUAACGAAAACAUUGGUGAGAAUCAAAUGCCCUAAAAACCCAAGGUUUCCUUCGCAAGGUUCGUCCACGGAGGGUGAGUCAGGGCCUAAGAUCAGGCCGAAAGGCGUAGUC
rnacentral:ncRNA from 1 species